AUACGGAGGACGCGAGCGUUAUCCGGAUUCAUUGGGUUUAAAGGGUGCGCAGGCGGCCGUGCAAGUCAGCGGUGAAAGCCCGGGGCCCAACCCCGGAAGUGCCGUUGAUACUGCAUGGCUUGAAUGCGGUCGAGGCGGGCGGAACGUGGCGUGUAGCGGGGAAAUGCUGAGAUAUUCCACAGAAAGCCGAUAGCGGAGGCGGCUCGCCAGGCCUGCAUUGACGCUCGGGCACGAAAGCGUGGGGAUCGAACAGGAUUAGAUACCCUGGUAGGCCACGCCGUAAACGAUGGGCGCUCGUCGUCGGCGGCAGACAGUCGGCGGCCAAGCGAAAGCGAUAAGCGCCCCACCUGGGGAGUACGGUCGCAAGGCUGAAACUCAAAUGAAUUGACGGGG
rnacentral:rRNA from 1 species